GGGUCAGUAGGUUGGUCUUGCCACCGGUACGUACUGGUCUCACUGAUUCCUCCUUCCUGAAGAACCGUAAUGCCAUUAAUUUGGUGUUGCGGGGAAACAGGACUGUUACUUUGAAAAAAUUAGAGUGUUUAAAGCAAGCUAACGCUUGAAUACAUCAGCAUGGAAUAAUGAAAUAGGACGAUCGAUCCUAUUUUGUUGGUUUCUAGGAUUGACGUA
rnacentral:rRNA from 1 species